rnacentral:rRNA from 1 species
UACGGGGGGGGCAAGCGUUGUUCGGAAUUACUGGGCGUAAAGGGCUCGUAGGCGGCCAACUAAGUCAGACGUGAAAUCCCUCGGCUUAACCGGGGAACUGCGUCUGAUACUGGAUGGCUUGAGUGCGGGAGAGGGAUGCGGAAUUCCAGGUGUAGCGGUGAAAUGCGUAGAUAUCUGGAGGAACACCCGUGGCGAAAGCGGCAUCCUGGACCACGACUGACGCUUAGUGAGCGAAAGCCAGGGGAGCAAACAGG